rnacentral:ribozyme from 1 species
UCUUCUUCCACCAAGGCCAAGAAAAGUGGUCACUCUGGAACCACCAAGAAACGCAGGUCUGCCUCUUCUGAAAGGGGACGCACGAUUCCUCCCCCCAAGAAACCCAAAUUCGUGAUUCCCUCCGAAAAAGACAUUGAGGAAGAGGACGAAGGAGAAGAGC